GAUGAAGAACGCAGCGAAAUGCGAUAAGUAAUGCGAAUUGCAGAAUUUCCGUGAGUCAUCGAAUCUUUGAACGCACAUUGCGCCCACUGGUAUUCCGGUGGGCAUGCCUGUUCGAGCGUCAUUAUCCUCCCUCAAACCCCGGGUUUGGUGUUGGACCCAAGUUGUGUGAACAACUGGUCUCAAAGACAAUGACGGCGUCCGUGGGACCCUCGGUGCAACGAGCUUUUAGGAGCACGCAUCGAGGUGCAAGGACCUUCCGGGCCGGUCUCCUUUACCAUUUUACAAGGUUGACCUCGGAUCAGGUAGGAAUACCCGCUGAACUUAAGCAUAUCAAUAAGCGGAGGA
rnacentral:misc_RNA from 1 species